rnacentral:rRNA from 1 species
UACGUAGGGUGCGAGCGUUGUCCGGAAUUAUUGGGCGUAAAGAGCUCGUAGGCGGUGUGUCACGUCGGCCGUGAAAACCUGCAGCUUAACUGUGGGCGUGCGGUCGAUACGGGCAUCACUGGAGUUCGGCAGGGGAGACUGGAAUUCCUGGUGUAGCGGUGAAAUGCGCAGAUAUCAGGAGGAACACCGGGGGCGAAGGCGGGUCUCUGGGCCGAUACUGACGCUGAGGAGCGAAAGCGUGGGGAGCAAACAGG